CAGGAGUUUUAUUAUUUUUAAAGAAAAAAAUGCGUAAUUAUAAUGGUUGUGAUGGUUUUACCAUACAUAUCACACUUAUGCAAUCUCAAAAACACAAAAAUUAUCCACUAAAAAGAAAUCACAUUAAAAUGUUCAGAUAUCUAACCGUUCAUUUCAACGAUUUUUCAGAAGUUAAAAAAAAAAUGCAAAUUAAAUGACACAUGGAAGCUUCCCAUUAUGUCUUAAAUAUCAAACAAUAUGAAUUCCUGGAAUAAAAAGCUAGUUUGUUUGACUAUUCACCUCAAAUGUCAUCUGAGCUUCCGAUUAAGAAAUAGUAUUAUCUAUGUUGCAUCAUCAAGGUGCUCGGUCCAGCUGUUUUCUCUUCUCAACGAACAUCCAAAGUCUACAGACUAAUACGUCCUUUUAGAGCUUCAAGUAUCUCACUCAUUUGUGGUCGAUUUUGAGGAUCACCACGUACACAUGCUAAAGCACAAGCAAUCAUUCGAUCCAUUUGUUCAGUAUCAUACUUCUUUAAUAGUUUCUCAUCAACAAAACUGUCUUUAUCUUUGGAUAGAUGUCUUUUGGCCCAGUCAACUAUGGUAGUGUGACCAUCAAAAUCACCAAUGGGUUCUUUUCCAGUAAUUAACUCCAGAAG
rnacentral:misc_RNA from 1 species